rnacentral:rRNA from 1 species
GAGACGUAAAUUUUAUAAGGGUUUGUAUUACUCCUUAGGGCGAUUGAUUUAGCGGCCGCGAAUUCGCCCUUAGAGUUUGAUCCUGGCUGAGGAUGAACGCUGGCGGCGUGCCUAACACAUGCAAGUCAAGGAGAAGUUUCACUUCGGUGAAGCGGAUACUGGCGCACGGGUGAGUAACACGUGGAUAAUCUGCCCUUUACACAGACAUAACUCAGGGAAACUUGAGCUAAUAUCUGAUGAGGCCUCCGGGUCAAAGCUUCGGCGGUAAAGGAUGAGUCUGCGUCUGAUUAGCUAGUUGGUAAGGUAAUGGCUUACCAAGGCGACGAUCAGUAACUGGUCUGAGAGGACGAUCAGUCACACUGGAACUGAGACACGGUCCAGACUCCUACGGGAGGCAGCAGUGAGGAAUUUUGGACAAUGGGGGAAACCCUGAUCCAGCGACGCCGCGUGUGGGAUGAAUGGGUUAUGCCCUGUAAACCACUGUCAGCAGAGAAGAAAAGGUUCCUUUGGAACCCGGGACUGUAUCUGCAGAGGAAGGACCGGCUAACUACGUGCCAGCAGCCGCGGUAAUACGUAGGGUCCAAGCGUUAUCCGGAAUUACUGGGUAUAAAGGGUGCGUAGGCGGUCUUGUGCGUCGAAGGUUAAAGGCCAUGGCUCAACCAUGGAAAUGCCCUCGAUACGGCAAGACUUGAGUAUGAGAGAGGAAGAUGGAAUUCCUGGUGUAGCAGUGAAAUGCGUAGAUAUCAGAGGAACACCGGUGGCGAAGGCGGUCUUCUGGCUCAUUACUGACGCUGAGGCACGAAAGUGUGGGGAGCGAACAGGAUUAGAUACCCUGGUAGUCCACACCGUAAACGAUGUAUGCUUGGUGUUAGAACAAAUUGUUGUUCUAGUGCCGGAGAUAAUUCGUUAAGCAUACCACCUGGGAAGUACGAUCGCAAGGUUGAACUCAAAGGAUUGACGGGGCCCGCACAGCGGUGGAUUAUGUGGUUUAAUUCGAUGCAACGCGAAGACCUUACCCAGGCUUGAAGUGUAACGGACUACUGCCGAAAGGUAGUUUCCCUUCGGUCGUUACAGAGGUGCUGCAUGCUGUCGUCAGCUCGUGCGUGAGGUGUUUGGGUUAAGUCCCGCAACGAGCGCCAACCCCCUAUCUUUAUUGCCCCUCAAGGUAUGCUCUGGAACUCUAAAGAGACUGCCCCGCCCAACCGGAAGGAAAAGGAGGGACACAAUUCAGUCCUUCUUGUGCCCUCUAA